rnacentral:lncRNA from 1 species
GAGUCAUGUACAGUAAAUUAGAGAUAGUGAGUGUCCUUUGGUCAGUAAUAAUUGAUGUAUCAUUUAUUGUACAGGAGAAUGGAAUUAAGACAAAAUGCUAAGAAUAUUCAAAGCAUGUCCAAUUUGAAGAAUGCCGUGAACUACUCAUAAUCAAUAAACAGUUUGUUCCAUGGACAUUAACUUAUUACUUAGAGAAAAGGAUGUGUUGAGAUUAAUAUGCACUAAUGCAAUGUGUCACCAUUUUCUUGAUGCAUCAAGCUUAGAGAUACUGAGGUCAUCAAUGAGUCUUGCAUUCAAGCUUGCUGUCCUUCAAAAUUAGGACACUGUACAUAAACUUGCAUUUUUGUUUAGUUUUUAUAAUG